AAUGAACGCUGGCGGCGUGCUUAACACAUGCAAGUCGAGCGAGAACGUCGACUUCGGUCGACUAGUAAAGCGGCGAACGGGUGAGUAACACGUGGAUAACCUGCCUUGGAGUGGGGGAUAACCUGGGGAAACUCGGGCUAAUACCGCAUACGUUCUCAGCCUUACGAGGCUGAGAGGAAAGCUGGCCAAUUCUUGAAAGCUGGCGCUCUUAGAGGGGUCCGCGCCCGAUUAGCUUGUUGGUGAGGUAACGGCUCACCAAGGCUGCGAUCGGUAGCCGGCCUGAGAGGGUGAUCGGCCACACUGGGACUGAGACACGGCCCAGACUCCUACGGGAGGCAGCAGUGGGGAAUAUUGGACAAUGGGCGCAAGCCUGAUCCAGCAACGCCGCGUGGAGGACGAAGGCCUUCGGGUCGUAAACUCCUGUCAGUUGGGACGAAAGUCGUAAGUCAAUAGCUUACGAUUCUGACGGUACCAGCAGAGGAAGCCCCGG
rnacentral:rRNA from 1 species